AUUUCAUAUUUAAAAUUUAAAAUAUGAAAUUUAUUCUUAAAAUUAUUCUUUAGAUUAGUUCUUUGAAAUUAGAUACACAUAUCAUAUUUCUAAGUUAAUGUUAAAUGAUCUGUCAGGUUGGUUGAUUUAGCCUUAAUGUAGCUCAAUCAGAUAAUCUAGCAGAUUGUUUGGCAUUAAUUAAAAUCAGGCUAUUGAAUUUGUUUUAUAUUUACAGUAUAUAUUUUCAUGUAUUUGCCAAUUUUAAAUGUUAUAUAAAGAAAAACAGCUCAUUUAAAUUUUGAUAAAAUGUCAAGUUUGGCCAUUGAAAAUUUGGAAAGAUUGAUUUAUAUUUCUUCUUAUUAUUUUAUUAAUAUACCCUUUUAAAUAUUUCAUUAAUUUAAUCAAUUAUUCAUAGAAUACUUACAUUAAUUUAGGCUGAAACAGCUGCAAAUCGUAUCUGUAAAGUACUUAAAGUUAACCAGGAGAAUGAACGAUUGAUGGAAGAAUAUGAACGCUUAGCCAGUGAUUUAUUGGAAUGGAUUCGUCGUACAACACCUUGGCUCGAAAAUCGCACAACAGAUAACACAUUAGCUGGUGUUCAUAAAAAACUGGAUGAAUUCAGAAAUUA